AUUGAACGCUGGCGGCAGGCCUAACACAUGCAAGUCGAGCGGAUGAAGGGAGCUUGCUCCUGGAUUCAGCGGCGGACGGGUGAGUAAUGCCUAGGAAUCUGCCUGGUAGUGGGGGAUAACGUCCGGAAACGGGCGCUAAUACCGCAUACGUCCUGAGGGAGAAAGUGGGGGAUCUUCGGACCUCACGCUAUCAGAUGAGCCUAGGUCGGAUUAGCUAGUUGGUGGGGUAAAGGCCUACCAAGGGGACGAUCCGUAACUGGUCAGAAAGGAUGAUCAGUCACACUGGAACUGGGACACGCUCCAGACUCCUACGGGAGGCAGCAGUGGGGAAUUUUGGACAAUGGGCGAAAGCCUGAUCCAGCCAUGCCGCGUGUGUGAAGAAGGUCUUCGGAUUGUAAAGCACUUUAAGUUGGGAGGAAGGGCAGUAAGUUAAUACCUUGCUGUUUUGACGUUACCAACAGAAUAAGCACCGGCUAACUUCGUG
rnacentral:rRNA from 1 species